rnacentral:rRNA from 1 species
AAGGAACGCUGGCAGCGUGCAUAACACAUGCAAGUCGAACGGUAGUAUAUCUUCGGAUAUAUGAGAGUGGCGAACGGGUGAGUAACACGUAAGAAUCUACCUUUGGGACGGGGAUAACUUCUGGAAACGGAUGCUAAUACCCGAUACGCUGUGGAGUGAAAGAAUUUCGCCCAAAGAUGAUCUUGCGUCUGAUUAGCUAGUUGGUAGGGUAAUGGCUUACCAAGGCGACGAUCAGUAGCUGGUCUGAGAGGAUGGACAGCCACAUUGGAACUGAGACACGGUCCAAACUCCUACGGGAGGCAGCAGUGGGGAAUUUUCCGCAAUGGACGAAAGUCUGACGGAGCGACGCUGCGUGAAGGAUGACGGCCUGCGGGUUGUAAACUUCUUUUCUCGAAGAAGAAUAAAUGACGGUAUUCGAGGAAUAAGCAUCGGCUAACUCUGUGCCAGCAGCCGCGGUAAGACAGAGGAUGCAAGUGUUAUUCGGAUUGAUUGGGCGUAAAGCGUCUGUAGGCGGUUUGGAAAGUCUUUUGUGAAAUUCUUCAGCUCAACUGGGGGUCCGCAAAAGAAACUUCUAAGCUUGAGGGAAGUAGAGGUAUAGGGAAUUUCCGGUGGAGCGGUGAAAUGCGUAGAUAUCGGAAGGAACACCAAUAUGGCGAAGGCACUGUACUGGGCUUUACCUGACGCUAAGAGACGAAAGCUAAAGGAGUGAUUAGGAUUAGAUACCCUAGUAAUUUUAGCCGUAAACGAUGGAAACUCACUGCCGAGCCGGUAUUCGGAGCGGUGGUCAAGCUAACGCGUGAAGUUUCCCGCCUGGGGACUACGCAUGCAAAUGUGAAACUCAAAGGAAUUGACGGGGACCCGCACAAGCGGUGGAGUAUGUGGUUUAAUUCGAUGCAACGCGAAAAACCUUACCAGGGUUUGAAAUCAUUCCAAAACCUUU